UACGAAGGGGGCUAGCGUUGCUCGGAAUCACUGGGCGUAAAGGGCGCGUAGGCGGCGCUUUAAGUCGGGGGUGAAAGCCUGUGGCUCAACCACAGAAUGGCCUUCGAUACUGGGACGCUUGAGUAUGGUAGAGGUUGGUGGAACUGCGAGUGUAGAGGUGAAAUUCGUAGAUAUUCGCAAGAACACCGGUGGCGAAGGCGGCCAACUGGACCAUUACUGACGCUGAGGCGCGAAAGCGUGGGGAGCAAACAGG
rnacentral:rRNA from 1 species